rnacentral:rRNA from 2 species
AUUUUAGUUGCCAGCAUUUAGUUGGGCACUCUAAAGUGACUGCCGGUGCAAGCCGGAGGAAGGUGGGGAUGACGUCAAAUCAUCAUGCCCCUUAUGACCUGGGCUACACACGUGCUACAAUGGAUAGUACAAAGGGUCGCGAAGCCGCGAGGUGGAGCUAAUCCCAUAAAACUAUUCUCAGUUCGGAUUGUAGGCUGCAACUCGCCUACAUGAAGCCGGAAUCGCUAGUAAUCGUGGAUCAGCAUGCCACGGUGAAUACGUUCCCGGGCCUUGUACACACCGCCCGUCACACCACGAGAGUUUGUAACACCCGAAGUCGGUAGGGUAACCUUUAUGGAGCCAGCCGCCGAAGGUGGGACAGAUAAUUGGGGUGAAGUCGUAACAAGGUAGCCGUAUCGGAAGGUGCGGCUGGAUCACCUCCUUUCUAAGGAA